rnacentral:tRNA from 1 species
UUACAUUGUAGUGUACGGCACGCCAGUCUUUGAAAUUGGAAGAGGCAAACUCAUUUCGCCCAAUGUAAU